UGAGAAGACUGUCUAAAUUGAAAACUGCGUUGUUCCUAUUGAAGCAAGAAGUAUAUUCAAUGCAAGUCCAUGCAAUUUGAAACCUAACAAAUGCACAAAUACAUGUUCAAGAAAAACAACAAUAAUACCUCUCAUCUUUUCACUCAAAAGUAAUAAACAUGAAUUGAAGAUCAAUUCUCACCAGGUUUGCGAAGAGAUCAGGGGAAGCUGGAAACCCGAACAUCACAAGUGAUUGGUUCAAAAACUUUGCACAAUGCUCCAAAUCAGAAAACUUGUACUCCCUGAAACGUUAAAAAGAAAAAAUGCCAUCAACACAACAAUGUGACUCGUGAAAUAGAUCAGAGAACAAAACUAAAUAAUAGAAUCAAGAUUGUACUAUAGUUAGAGUCAACUAAUCCAUUGUGGAGGCAUAAUGAAAAUAUGGUUGAAAAUAAAAUUAGAAAUGUAGAGAAAUGAGAAGGAAUAAUGCAUAUAGGGAAUGUUGGAAAUUACUUUAAGAUAGUAUAUAGGGAAUGCUCUUUUAUGUAUAUAGUUAUAAAUAGUAUUUGCUUAGUUGAAAGUGUUAGCUUUUACCUUGUUUUACUCCUUGUUUUGUCUGGUAUGUUCUUUUAGACCCUUUGAUGGCCUAAUAAGUAUCAUAUCAUUUAUCCUUGUUAGUGUUUCAUUUAAUUUUGAUUACAUAGGCUCGUUCUUUUCUAGUGAUGUACUUGGUAUGUUGGAGUUCCAACUUUUUCUAGUAUUUAACAUUAAACUUGAUGGGUAAUUCUAUUGACAUUCAAAAAAUUAUUGCUCACACAUGGACAAAAAUGCAACGUUUGUUAAUGUAAAUGUAAAUGUAAAUGUUAUAAGUAGGCAAUCCAUCAAGGUGUAAGCAAUUAUUUUUUGGGUGUUAAUAGAUUGUCCAAACUUGACAUAGUAUGAAUUAAUGUUCAAAUUGCAGUCUAAUUACACUUCCACUGUCAUUCCAACACAAUGUUGCAACUAUUCAAAAUUUCUAACAAAAAAGUCAAUUAUAUAUCAAAAAAUAAUAUAGAGUAAAAACCCAACUUAAAUCGACAAAUAUUUUGACAAAACUAUUUUGAUCUUUAAUAAUAAGUUGGACUAAUACACACUCGUGCUAAUCUACACCAAAUGCAUGGGGUUGUUAUAGAUUAAGUAACAAUCAUUUAGUUUAAAUAAUAAUUUCUUUUAUACAAUUUUAUUUUAUACAAAAUAAAUAGUGCAACUAUUUCAUAAUAGGAAGUAAACUAACUAUAUUCUCAACUUGCCAAAUCAAUUGCAUAAAAUAUCAUAAUAGGAAGAGUCCACUUCUUUGUAUAACAAAAAACUCCAAUUUCAUUUAUAAUGUGCAAUAAUUGGCUCCUUCACUAACUGUACAACAUCUAAGUGAUUGAUUCCCCUACCAGUUAUAUUUUGCCCCAAACAAUGACAGAGAAAGAGAGUAAUAGUAAUUGAUAGGUAAAGAGAAAAAUCAUACCUUGAGUGAACACAGAGGCAAAUGUAAAGAAAGAGAAAUAAGUUGAAAGAGUGAACACGAUGGCUCUAUGAUGUUAUGGGUCGAUUAUUUCAUCCAUGUUGUGCAUUUGCAGAUCUCCAGAUGAAAAAAAAAAGUGUUGAUUUAUUUAGUACAUGUGAAGAAAGGAAUGGAACAACAAGAUACACAAAAUAAAAUAAAAACAUAAAGUAAGACAUAAAACAUGCACACUUAGAAAAAUAUUUUCUUCAUAGAAAAAAAUGUGUUAAGAACACAUAAAUGAUGAGAUGAGUUGAAAGAAAGAACCUGGAAGGAGAA
rnacentral:lncRNA from 1 species